CCGAGACUACCUGUGGGUACCC
rnacentral:snRNA from 1 species